rnacentral:rRNA from 1 species
AUUGAACGCUGGCGGCAGGCUUAACACAUGCAAGUCGAGCGAGCGGCGGACGGGUGAGUAAUAUCUGGGAAACUGCCCGAUGGAGGGGGGUAACUACUGGAAACGGUAGCUAAUACCGCAUACCAUCAGAUGUGCGCAGAUGGGAGUAGCUGGUAGGUGGGGUAACGUGUCACCUAGGCGACGAUCCCUAGCUGGUCUGAGAGGAUGCCCAGCCAAACUGGAACUUAGAAACGGGCCAGGCUCCUACGGGAGGCAGCAGGGGGGAAUAUUGGACAAUGGGCGCAAGCCUGAUGCAGCCAUGCCGCGUGUGUGAAGGAGGCCGUCGGGUUGUAAAGCACUUUCAGCGGGGAGGCGUUACCCGCAGAAGAAGCAACGGCUAACUCCGUGCCAACAGCCGCGGUAAUAC